rnacentral:rRNA from 1 species
CCUACGGGCGGCAGCAGUGGGGAAUAUUGCACAAUGGGGGAAACCCUGAUGCAGCGACGCCGCGUGAGUGAAGAAGUAUUUCGGUAUGUAAAGCUCUAUCAGCAGGGAAGAAAAUGACGGUACCUGACUAAGAAGCCCCGGCUAACUACGUGCCAGCAGCCGCGGUAAUACGUAGGGGGCAAGCGUUAUCCGGAUUUACUGGGUGUAAAGGGAGCGUAGACGGCCAGACAAGUCAGAAGUGAAAGCCCAUGGCUCAACCCUGGGACUGCUUUUGAAACUGCCGGGCUGGAGUGCAGGAGAGGUAAGCGGAAUUCCUAGUGUAGCGGUGAAAUGCGUAGAUAUUAGGAGGAACACCAGUGGCGAAGGCGGCUUACUGGACUGUAACUGACGUUGAGGCUCGAAAGCGUGGGGAGCAAACAGGAUUAGAUACCCCGGUAGUC